rnacentral:rRNA from 1 species
CAGCCGCCGCGGUAAUACGGAGGGUGCAAGCGUCAAUCGGAAUUACUGGGCGUAAAGCGCACGCAGGCGGUUUGUUAAGUCAGAUGUGAAAUCCCCGAGCUUAACUUGGGAACUGCAUUUGAAACUGGCAAGCUAGAGUCUUGUAGAGGGGGGUAGAAUUCCAGGUGUAGCGGUGAAAUGCGUAGAGAUCUGGAGGAAUACCGGUGGCGAAGGCGGCCCCCUGGACAAAGACUGACGCUCAGGUGCGAAAGCGUGGGGAGCAAACAGGAUUAGAUACCCCUGUAGUCCCUGUCUCUUAUAC